UUAAGCGACUAAGCGUACACGGUGGAUGCCCUGGCAGUCAGAGGCGAUGAAGGACGUGCUAAUCUGCGAUAAGCGUCGGUAAGGUGAUAUGAACCGUUAUAACCGGCGAUUUCCGAAUGGGGAAACCCAGUGUGUUUCGACACACUAUCAUUAACUGAAUCCAUAGGUUAAUGAGGCGAACCGGGGGAACUGAAACAUCUAAGUACCCCGAGGAAAAGAAAUCAACCGAGAUUCCCCCAGUAGCGGCGAGCGAACGGGGAGCAGCCCAGAGCCUGAAUCAGUGUGUGUGUUAGUGGAAGCGUCUGGAAAGGCGCGCGAUACAGGGUGACAGCCCCGUACACAAAAAUGCACAUACUGUGAGCUCGAUGAGUAGGGCGGGACACGUGGUAUCCUGUCUGAAUAUGGGGGGACCAUCCUCCAAGGCUAAAUACUCCUGACUGACCGAUAGUGAACCAGUACCGUGAGGGAAAGGCGAAAAGAACCCCGGCGAGGGGAGUGAAAAAGAACCUGAAACCGUGUACGUACAAGCAGUGGGAGCCUCUUAAUGGGGUGACUGCGUACCUUUUGUAUAAUGGGUCAGCGACUUAUAUUCUGUAGCAAGGUUAACCGAAUAGGGGAGCCGAAGGGAAACCGAGUCUUAACUGGGCGUUAAGUUGCAGGGUAUAGACCCGAAACCCGGUGAUCUAGCCAUGGGCAGGUUGAAGGUUGGGUAACACUAACUGGAGGACCGAACCGACUAAUGUUGAAAAAUUAGCGGAUGACUUGUGGCUGGGGGUGAAAGGCCAAUCAAACCGGGAGAUAGCUGGUUCUCCCCGAAAGCUAUUUAGGUAGCGCCUCGUGAAUUCAUCUCCGGGGGUAGAGCACUGUUUCGGCAAGGGGGUCAUCCCGACUUACCAACCCGAUGCAAACUGCGAAUACCGGAGAAUGUUAUCACGGGAGACACACGGCGGGUGCUAACGUCCGUCGUGAAGAGGGAAACAACCCAGACCGCCAGCUAAGGUCCCAAAGUCAUGGUUAAGUGGGAAACGAUGUGGGAAGGCCCAGACAGCCAGGAUGUUGGCUUAGAAGCAGCCAUCAUUUAAAGAAAGCGUAAUAGCUCACUGGUCGAGUCGGCCUGCGCGGAAGAUGUAACGGGGCUAAACCAUGCACCGAAGCUGCGGCAGCGACACUAUGUGUUGUUGGGUAGGGGAGCGUUCUGUAAGCCUGUGAAGGUGUACUGUGAGGUAUGCUGGAGGUAUCAGAAGUGCGAAUGCUGACAUAAGUAACGAUAAAGCGGGUGAAAAGCCCGCUCGCCGGAAGACCAAGGGUUCCUGUCCAACGUUAAUCGGGGCAGGGUGAGUCGACCCCUAAGGCGAGGCCGAAAGGCGUAGUCGAUGGGAAACAGGUUAAUAUUCCUGUACUUGGUGUUACUGCGAAGGGGGGACGGAGAAGGCUAUGUUGGCCGGGCGACGGUUGUCCCGGUUUAAGCGUGUAGGCUGGUUUUCCAGGCAAAUCCGGAAAAUCAAGGCUGAGGCGUGAUGACGAGGCACUACGGUGCUGAAGCAACAAAUGCCCUGCUUCCAGGAAAAGCCUCUAAGCAUCAGGUAACAUCAAAUCGUACCCCAAACCGACACAGGUGGUCAGGUAGAGAAUACCAAGGCGCUUGAGAGAACUCGGGUGAAGGAACUAGGCAAAAUGGUGCCGUAACUUCGGGAGAAGGCACGCUGAUAUGUAGGUGAAGUCCCUUGCGGAUGGAGCUGAAAUCAGUCGAAGAUACCAGCUGGCUGCAACUGUUUAUUAAAAACACAGCACUGUGCAAACACGAAAGUGGACGUAUACGGUGUGACGCCUGCCCGGUGCCGGAAGGUUAAUUGAUGGGGUUAGCGGUAACGCGAAGCUCUUGAUCGAAGCCCCGGUAAACGGCGGCCGUAACUAUAACGGUCCUAAGGUAGCGAAAUUCCUUGUCGGGUAAGUUCCGACCUGCACGAAUGGCGUAAUGAUGGCCAGGCUGUCUCCACCCGAGACUCAGUGAAAUUGAACUCGCUGUGAAGAUGCAGUGUACCCGCGGCAAGACGGAAAGACCCCGUGAACCUUUACUAUAGCUUGACACUGAACAUUGAGCCUUGAUGUGUAGGAUAGGUGGGAGGCUUUGAAGUGUGGACGCCAGUCUGCAUGGAGCCGGCCUUGAAAUACCACCCUUUAAUGUUUGAUGUUCUAACGUUGGCCCCUUACCGGGGUUGCGGACAGUGUCUGGUGGGUAGUUUGACUGGGGCGGUCUCCUCCUAAAGAGUAACGGAGGAGCACGAAGGUUGGCUAAUCCUGGUCGGACAUCAGGAGGUUAGUGCAAUGGCAUAAGCCAGCUUGACUGCGAGCGUGACGGCGCGAGCAGGUGCGAAAGCAGGUCAUAGUGAUCCGGUGGUUCUGAAUGGAAGGGCCAUCGCUCAACGGAUAAAAGGUACUCCGGGGAUAACAGGCUGAUACCGCCCAAGAGUUCAUAUCGACGGCGGUGUUUGGCACCUCGAUGUCGGCUCAUCACAUCCUGGGGCUGAAGUAGGUCCCAAGGGUAUGGCUGUUCGCCAUUUAAAGUGGUACGCGAGCUGGGUUUAGAACGUCGUGAGACAGUUCGGUCCCUAUCUGCCGUGGGCGCUGGAGAACUGAGGGGGGCUGCUCCUAGUACGAGAGGACCGGAGUGGACGCAUCACUGGUGUUCGGGUUGUCAUGCCAAUGGCACUGCCCGGUAGCUAAAUGCGGAAGAGAUAAGUGCUGAAAGCAUCUAAGCACGAAACUUGCCCCGAGAUGAGUUCUCCCUGACUCCUUGAGAGUCCUGAAGGAACGUUGAAGACGACGACGUUGAUAGGCCGGGUGUGUAAGCGCAGCGAUGCGUUGAGCUAACCGGUACUAAUGAACCGUGAGGCUUAACCU
rnacentral:rRNA from 1 species